rnacentral:lncRNA from 1 species
CCCAAACCAGAACCACAUUGCCUUGAUGACUACAAAAGCAUUUCUCAUCAUAUUCAGAAAUGGAGUGGAGACUUGGGAUGUGUGACUGGCUUCCUUCCCACAAAGCCCAUGCGGAAGAAAACGGUUCCAAAACACAGGAAAAUCAAUGCUGUAUGAAUUCUGAGCAAGAGGCUGGCAACUUUCAGAUUUCUGCAAAUGUGCUUGACGGUGGACAUACAUAAAGAUGCCUGUGCUCCUGACUGACUCCAGGAGGUGAAAUCCAGGAAUCCCAUUGAGUCUGCUCAAAACAGGUACAGUGCCUCCUAAUGGAAGAACAGCCAAGAGAAGAUGCCAAUAAGAAAGAAUGAAAGGAUGCUUCCUAAAACACCAGUCAAAUCUCAGAAUGGUUUUCACUGGGAGAAGAAAGCCACGGAAGACUGUACAGAAAGAAAACAAAACCAACUCCACCCAUCAUUAGCAACAUCAAAAGCUGUUUUCAGUCCUUCAUUGAAAUUUCCAGUUGUUGGCAAGGAUAUGGAGCAAUCUGAUUUCUCCUGCAUGGCUAUUGUAAACAUUGCUGGAUGUUUGAACCCCCACAAAUGUCCAGUUGAAACCUCACCCCAAGGCGGUAAUAGUAUCAGAAAGUGGGGCCUUGGGGAAAAUGACUGGAUUAUGAGAUGAUUGGAUUAUGAGUGGAAUUGGUGCCCUUAGGAAGCAGGCCUGAUGGGAUAGCCUGGUUCCUUUCAUUGUGUGAGGACACAGCACGAGCUGCACAGUCUAUGACCCACAGGAGUGCCUCUCUGUUUCCAACCCAAUCCAACCCACCCAACACAACAAAUCCACCCAACCCACCCAAACAACCCAAACAAUUCACCCAACCCACCCAAACAACCACCCAAACCCACCCAAUCCUGUGUAGCCUGUCUUGGAUAUCUGUGGUGAUCUGAAUCAAAAUGGCACCCGUAGGUUCAUAGGGAGUGGCACAACUGGGAUGUGUGGCCUUCUUGGAGGAAAUGUGUCACUGGGUUUCUUAGUUAGGUUUUCAUUGCUGUGAAGAAACACCAUGACCACAGCAACUCUUAUAAAAGAAAGCAUUCAACUGGGGCUUGCUUAUAGUUUCAGAGAUUCAAUCCAUUAUCAUUAUGGUGGGAAAUGGAGAAGUGAAGGCAGACAUGGUGCUGGCUACAUCUUGAUCAGAAGGCAACAAGUAGACUGUGACACUAGGAGAAGGUUAAUCAUAGGAGAACUGAAAGCCUACCCCCACAGAGAUACAUGUCCUCCAACAAGGCCAUGCCUACUCCAACAAGGCCACACCUCCUAACAGUGCCACUCCCUUUGAGGUCACUUUUUUUCAAACCACCACACUGGGGGUGGGCUUUUGGGUUUCAGAAACUCUAACCAGGCCCAGUAUGCUCUCUCUUCCUGAUGCCUGCUGAUCUGGAUGUAGAACUCUCAGUUGCAUCUCCGGUACCUUGUCUGCCUACAUGCUAUCAUGCUUCCCACAAAGACAAUGAACUUAAACUCGGAACUGUAAGUCAUCCCCAAUUAAAUGUUUUCCUUUAUAAGAAUUGCUGUGUCUUGACUCCUCAUGGGAGCCCUUACCCAUGAGGAGGAGUGGACUGGGG